rnacentral:lncRNA from 1 species
UCCAUCAACGCAACUCAUAUUUGAUUUCUAACUUUAUUCAUGUAGCCUCCAUCUUGCACUCUUCCUGGAUUAUAUGAACUGAUUUCUUCAUUUAUAUUGCUUUCUUCGUCACGCUCAAUCAUAUAUUCAGAGAUAACAUCACAUUUAUUAAACUCUUCAUCUUCAACUCCACACAUUCGAAUAAAGUUGUGGAGUGUUGUUGUUGCAACUAUGAUCUUUUGUUGUUUGAUUAGUGAAAAUGGUCGCAUAUCACAUAAGAUAUGCCACCUUUUUUUCCAAACUUCAAUUGUUCUUUCAAUGACAUUUCUCAAUGAAGAAUGUGC